ensembl:lncRNA
CUCCCUGCUGCUGCGGAGUCGGGGCGGUCUGCCUCUCCCCACCGCAGGGAAAAGGGGGUAACACCACCUGGGUCUGGGUGCAGUUCCCCCCUCCAGGGGCAAGGGUACCUAGACCCGGUUCGUAGAGUACACUUGGGGAGUGUGAUCGUGUAUACAGCGUCUCUUUAUGUCUGUCUCCACGUCGGUUGAGUGUGAAGUGCAUAUGAGAGCAUGAGGGUGGGAAUGGAUGUUUGUGUCUGUGUGUGCCUGUAUGUCUGUGUCUAUAUGUCAGGUUGGGUAUCAGACGCCACCUCUCUGGGGACAUCUCGGGCCCUCCAAGGUUUGGAGGCCUA